rnacentral:rRNA from 1 species
UACGGAGGGAGCUAGCGUUGUUCGGAAUUACUGGGCGUAAAGCGCACGUAGGCGGCUUUUUAAGUCAGGGGUGAAAUCCCGGGGCUCAACCCCGGAACUGCCCUUGAAACUGGAGAGCUAGAAUCUUGGAGAGGCGAGUGGAAUUCCGAGUGUAGAGGUGAAAUUCGUAGAUAUUCGAAAGAACACCAGUGGCGAAGGCGACUCGCUGGACAAGUAUUGACGCUGAGGUGCGAAAGCGUGGGGAGCAAACAGG